rnacentral:lncRNA from 1 species
GGGGUCAACUUUGAUGGAUUUUCAUUUCAUUUUCCCUUCCUUUUACUUCACUCUUACCUUUUUAUUUCCGCAUUAUUAUUUUUACUCUAAUCCAAUGGACGCAAAUCAGAGAGUUGCCAAAUUUAAAUCUUUUACACCUAAUGUAGCUCAUUGGUAAAGAUAUUAGUUUGUAUUCACAGUCGCUAGUUCAAGGUCCUUAGGCAAAUUGAAGUUUGCGCGGGGUCGUUAACUUAGGGUCCUUGGUAGUCUCUUUUGACUUAAUUGGUUUUGGAAGGAAUACUAGGCGUAUCAAAAAAAAAAAAAAUUAAGGGUUUAAGUUAUUAUUGUUUGGUCAUUUUAAAUCUUCCUCUGUUCAUCCUGGAAAUUUGGGACUUAUUGGACUAUUCUACCACUACCUAUUAAAAACCCAUGUUUCAAGGUGUAUAAUAGUUAUCAUCACUAUCAUAACCCAAUCUACCCCCUCUCAUUGGACUUCUAAAAAGGGAUUGGACUAUUUAUAGCAAGUUGUUUGCUUCUUUAUCCUGAAUUAAAUGCUUCAAAACCUUCUUCCAUUAUGUAAUAAUAGUUUGGUCAAUAAUCACUUACAUAGAAGAAAAAGUAGGGUUUCAUUUUCUUUAAUUAUGUUUCUUCUUGGCUGUCUCCUAAGGAGGAACCUUUCUUUUGGCUCUCGUGUUAGAUGGAUAAAUUAUUUAGUGAUGUUAGAGCAUCUCCAUUUGCGUGCAUUGGUAAGGUAAGAUGUCAUUGUUAAUAGAAUAUUUUUAUAUUUUUUGGCUUCAAUAGAGCUAUUACGAGAUAAAUUAAAAUAGAACAGAUGUUAGAGUGUUAGUUAACUAACUGUGGGCCAGUGCUUAGCAAAUAAGAGCGCCAGUAGUUAACUUAGUAUUCAAUAGUGAAAAAAUAUUGGGUGUGGGAUCAAGAUUUUUAACAUCUGGAGUAACCCUUAUAUUCAUCACUAACAAAUCGCUCAACUCCACAAAUGGGGGUCCCACUUUUAUUAUAUUAAUCAGUUUUUGUCACAUGACCAUACAUUUUAACCGAUGCAAUAAAAAUGCUCUAAGACAAUUUUAAUGUAUUCUACACAGUAGAUAAUUGGUCAAAACAAUUAGGUCUUACUACUUUUUUUGUCUGAAUGUGACUAACAUGUGCGCAUAGCGUCCCUUUAUCACUGGUGUAGAGCUAUCAUUUUCCAAGAGCACAAAUAAAUCUCUCUAUACAUGACAUUUUAUUAGAAGUUAUGCAUGUUUAUAAAUAACUUUCAUCCUAUAAAUGCAAAGGUUAUAUUUGGGUCAGAGUUCUUGAAGAAAAACACAAUUUAAAAUUUAAAAGAUUCAAUUAGUCGACCGUUGGAUCCUUCACUUUUUUCUUCAACUUUUUUCUUUCCAUAUUCAAACCUGCUAAGACUAUUAUCAUUAGAUCUGAUUGGAAUCACAAGAAGUACCUCUCUAGACAAAAAGAGGAAUGGUUACCUACUAUCUCUUGUUGAAAAUGAAAGCCUUAAUACUUCGCAUAAGUUUCGUGGAGCAAGAUGGACGUAAAUAAUUAUUUUUAAGGAGGUGAAUGUAUAUAUAAAAAAAUAAAUUAAAUUACAAAUGAAAUACAUAUUAAUUAAUCUUGAAGUAAAAAGUUAUGGCCUAGUUAUAUUAUAUAGAUGUCUGGAAGAAAAAUGUGGAUAAACACUAACGUUGGUAUUUGGUUAAUCUUAGUAUUAGCAAAUGAAACUAUAACGAAAAUAUAUAAUUUAAAAAUAUUAUUAGCAAAUAUUAAUAUAAAAUUGAGCUUUUUUAUAAAAAAAUGAAAAAUGAUUUAUGUAUUGUCAUGGUUUGCUCUUGUAUGCUCUAACUAGCCUUGAAAAAAUGCCCUAUUGAUAAUUUGUAUUUUUUUUUUUUUUUUUGGUAAGUGAUGAUUCGAUAGAUACUGUUAAUCAGCCAUGAUUGACUCCACAAUGAAUUAAACCUAGACUUGUUUCUAGCAAUUUCAAAUUGAUAUGUCUCAUCUAUAUCUUAAAAUUAGUCUUGUAUUUGAUUUAUUGUAAGUUGUUAGCUACUUAAAAGCCAUAAAUAAUAAAUAACUAAAUAAAAUCUUCAUGGCCUGUGGCAGCCAUGGCUUCACAUUGUGGAUGAAAGAAAUAAAAUAUGUUUUUUUGUAGGUUUCAAGAAGCACACGUUUUAGAGGUAAAGAAGAAAGGGGAUUUGUAACCACCAGUUUGGCACUAUGUAGGAUUGAGUGGAAAAGCAUGCUUUGUUUGGGUAAGAAAACCAUUAAUUAGUUUAUAUUUGAGCGCUCUUUAGCGGGAAGAUAAAAAGAUAUUAUAUUAAUAAUUAGAUAAAUGUUCUAGCACGAGGACAAAAGUUAUUAUAUUAUAUUUAGCAGGUAGGUUGUAUGGUAGUCUAGAACGAGGGAACUAAAAGUUAUUUAUCUAAAUUAAACACUAGAUAAACCAUGUUAUAAAAAAUCGAAAUGAACGGUCAGUUCAACGGUUGAAUCGGGAACCGGAUAUGAA